ensembl:lncRNA
UUUGUGGCAGAAUAUAGAGCAUAACUCCACAAAAUUUGUCGUUUCUCUUCAUAUAUUUGUUUUUCCUCCACGGAUAGAUGAUUCAAGUAGUCUCGGCUCCACAGGUGAGAAGAACAGUACUACCAAAUGUCCACUACUGGCCAUCAUGAUGGAGUGAUGAUUUGCCUGCCAAGGUAGUGAGUCGCUAUGUGACUGAAAAUUGUGCAUUGCAUGUAGUUAUUUAAUUUGUAUCUCAACCCUUUAAAUUGUCCUAAAGCAUUAAGUUAUUAGUUUUUAAGGCUUUGGCUGCUUAAAGGAUUCAGUAGAGUAGUUUUUAAGUAUGUCUGUAGCUCUUUAAAAUUAGCAUCCCUGUUAAUAUCUGAAUGAAUUACCAAUGCAGCUUGUAAACCAUUCAUUAGCUUAUUAGCGCAUUACCCAAACAGGAUGUAAUCCAGCUGACUCAGGGAAGGUGAAAAGGACUAUUUAAGUAUUUCUAAUUUUUUUUUUUUUUUUUGAGAUGACCUCUGUUAUAUCGAUACUAGACGUGUUUUCCUGUUUGUCUAAAAAGUUAUCAUUCCUUUUGUAUACUAUUAAAAACUAUUUUCUGAAGACUAUUAGUAUCUAUUGAAUUUAUUCAAACAGUCUAAACAGGGAAAUGUCUAAAAUUGGCUGCAGGUCUACAAACGUAUCUGAUUUAAUCUGAAAGGCUUCAGACAUGGAAAUGCUCUUUUAUUUGUUAAAGCUGUGGUUCAGAUCUUCAAUCAUAUCAGAUUUAAUCAUCCACUGUCCAGAGGUGCAAAAAUAUACAUGAGAAUGGUGUGCAUUGACUUCACUUACAGUAAGAAGCAGCGUUUGGUUUAUCUUGCAUGACACACUAACAGCUCUUUCAAGAUAAGAGACAGCAAAGCUCUCUAAGCUUUCUCAACUAUAUGAAGGAUAUACAAUUACUUUUCUUGUUGUCUGAGAUCAGGUAAUGUGACAGAGUUUCUGGUGCUUGGCUGAAAUGUCAUGUUGAUUCAAAGCUUAUCUCACAGUGUGCAAAAUACUUUCAUUUCUCUUGAUGUAAAGGGGACUGGCAUCCUGAAUUGAGGUUUAAAG